ensembl:lncRNA
AAUAUAUUAAAGGAAAGUAGGCUAUAAAAGAAAAUCAAGAUAAUGGUUUACUUUCUGGAAUGAUUUUCUAGAUGACAGCUUAUCCUUCCAUUAAUCUAGAGGUAAAAACAGGAAAAAGGGAAUUAAAGUCAAAAGCAGAGGAAAAGGCAUCCCAACUUUGGGGUGAUGGAAAGCUCCAACACAAGAGCUACCCUGCAGAACUAGAGAGCCAUCAGCCCAAAUGAGAGGAAGACAGAAGCUCAGGAAGAGAACUCUUCAGGAAGAUGAAACUUGUACCAGGAACUGAACUCAGGACCUUGCGCUUCCCUGGCAGGUGCAGCAUCUUACAUUAUUUUUUUGAUAUCUGCAGGAUCUAUAAUAAUAUCUAUUUACUAUUUUGUUCCUGUUAUUAUUGACCAAUCCCUGAGUUAAGAAUCAUCUUUAAUUACCUUCACAGAUUGGUAAAUAAAGCCCCAGUAGUGACUUACAUAACUUUCUGGUUCAAGACAUCAAAGUUGGCCAUUAGCUUUUGAUGUGCAAUGCACUGUUUUCUGAUGUGUGUCAUUAACCUAAAAUAUCCCACAAAAUUUUAUUGAACAGAUGACCAAAACUACUACUUAAAUGAAAAAUAGCACCAAGCAAAAUCCAGGUCUCAUAAGUCUUACAUGCCUUCAUUUAGUACAGCAAUUAAGAAAAAUUACUGGGAAAUAUUUCAGACCUAGAUGGGAAAAACUGAAGAUUAAGGCUGUUACAAAUUGCAGCAUUUUAAAGAAAAUUUCUCUUUUGAAAAGUAAUCAGUUGGUGACAAACUGCUUGGCGUCAGUCCCUAGCCCUCAUGAUUGUUGAUGCCACCAUCAGUUUCUUCCCUCCUUGAGCAAGUAUGCCAUGCUCCAUCAAGAACUAGAGGGCAGAAUCUUCUCUUGAAUCUGGACUGGCUUUAGUGACUUGGUUGAUGUUCUGGGGCUUCCAAAGCAUGAUCAUAAAAAGCAUUACAGCUUUGGCCUGGUCCUCUUAGGAAAUACUCUCUUGGAGAAACAACUUGUCACAUAAGAAGUCAGACUACCUUUAUCUCACCCGCUCUGGAAGUCACGUAAGGGUGCUCCAGUCAACAGUUCUAAACCAAGCCUUCUAGCCAUUCCCCCUGGGAUACCAGACAUGUAAGUGAAGCCAUGUUGAACCCUUCAGAUUACUCAUCUACCACUGAACACCACUAAGAAACUUCAGUCAAUGUCAUUUGGAGUAGAAGAAGUCAAACCAUGUCUAAAUACUUGACCAAUGAAAUCAUGAAAUACAAUAAAAUGUUUCUUUUUUUUAAAACCACUAAGUUUUGUCAUUAAAAAAAAAGCAAAGCAAUGAUUAUUAUAAACAGAGGUAUAUUAGUCAUUUUUCCUGUUGCUGGGACAAAGUAACUGAAAUCCAGCCAGGUGCGGUGGUGCAUGCCUGUAAUCCCAGCACUUGGAAGGCUGAGGCAGGAGAAUUACUAUGAGUUUGAUGCCAGCCUGGGCCACAAAGUGAGUUCAAGACCAGCCUGAAUUACACAGUGGGACCCUGUCUCAAAAACCAAAACCAAAAACCAAACCAAAACAAAAAACAAAUCUGACAUCCACAACUUACAGGAGGAGAGGCUUAACUUGGCUCAUGGUGCCAUGGCAUUCAGUACAUGGUUGUCACGCUCCACAAGCAGGAACAUCAUGGCAGAAGUGCAGUGGAGCAAAGAUGUUUAGUUCAUGGUGGUUUGGAAUCAGAGUGCAGAACAGCACCAAAGAGGAAGGGAUGAGGGACCAGACAUAAACCCUAGGUCACACCUCCUUAACCAUGCAGACACAUCCAGAAGUAAGCUUUAUUAAUCCCCUGGGUGGCUCCCAAGCCAAUCAAGUUGACAACCCAGCUUAACAGGGCAAACAUUCCUAUCAUCUGAUCUUGUAAAAACACCUAUGGUGUUCCAGAUUAGUUGCGAGAACCUAGAAAAAUUCCACCCAAGUUUGCCAUGCUAAGUAGUACACAUGUAUUUGUUAUUCUUCUUCAUGGUGUUAAAAUAAGAACACAAUAUAUAAAAAUUAUAGAAGUUUUUGCCAACAAUUAUUUCAAUUUAGGAUAAUUAUUUUUUUCUCAUCAAUUGAUUUAGGCAUAUUUUUAAUGCUCAAGAUGCUAUGGUGAACAGAACUAUCAGAUUACUGGAUGUCAUCUUGAACAGAAAAUAAAAACAUCAUGUAUAUUGGAUGUACACAAGGCCUCAUGCAACUUAAAAGUGAUGCUGAGCUUUGCAGGUGCUUUAGCAGAAGAAACAUAAGUAGUACAACAAUGGUGAGCAUAUAAAUAAAACCAUUAAAUGUAGUCAAAUAUUUAGCACUUUUCAAACAGCAUGCUGGCUCAUAAAUUACAUUUGAUAAAAGCCUAAUAACUAAUUUGGCUUGGUGAGAACUUAGUUAUCUGGAUGUCAAAUGUGAGUUUUUAAUCUUCGUUUUUAUUUUUAUUUAUUUAUUUAUUUUUGGUACCAGGAAUUGAACUCGGGUCCUUGUGCUUGCAAGGCAGGCAGCAGAACCACUGAGCUAAAUCCCCGG